GAAUUGCGAAAAGUAAUGUGAAUUGCAGAAUUCCGUGAAUCAUCGAAUCUUUGAACGCAUAUUGCGCUCUCUGGCCCUCCAGAGAGCAUGCCUGUUUGAGUAUCAGUAACAACCUCAACCCCCUUUGUGGGGCUUGGAUAUGAACGUGUCCAGCUUUGACGAGAUUUAUCUUGUCCCACGGCUGGUCGUUUGAAAUGAAGCGUGUGCUGUGUUUGUCACUGCUCUCGGCGAAGGCGUACCAGUUCUCCUCGGAGAUCCACUUGCGCCGGUGUUUUGCUGCUGAGCCUUUGUGCUGACUGAUGGCCUCGUAAAUUUAUAACACGAGUUGCUGCGCGGUUUGCAAAGCAACUUGAUCUUGAUCUCAAAUCAGGCAAGACUACCCGCUGAAUUUAA
rnacentral:misc_RNA from 1 species